UACACACACAGUCUGUCUCUUUCUCCCUUUCAGUCAAUCCCCUUCCUCUCUUGGUCCUACUCAAGCCUUUUCCCACCCCCGACUCUGCCUCGGCGAUGAGUCCGCUGUCUGGAUCCCUUUUCCCAGGCGUGGGCUGAGGACCCAGCGGUUCGGCAGCGGGGAUCAUCGCACGACGCUCCCGGACCCCUACAACCUCCUGUUCUCCAGCGGCCUCCAGCAUGACCACCGGGCUGGGAGCAGGCAUCCGGGCUGCCGGAGCGCUCGCUGCUCAGUGGCUCAGCCCUGCGCCGCCUUUGCCGGGAGCGGGGAUCCGAGGUGGGAGAAGGCCUCUUCGCCCGGCUCCUGGGCACAGCUACCUGCCUGAACAGCUGCCUGGCACCGAGCCUGCGCUCCCCGAGCACCCGGCCGCGGGUCCGCGACGCCUUCCGGGGCUGAGUAGCCGAAAACUAUCUCCUACUGCAAGAAUCUACCCCGGAAGAGAGAGCCCAGAGAAUUGCCCAAGCUGUCUGCAAACAGUCAAUUGACGUGAAGGAAAAUUGGGACCAAUUGAAAACCCAUGCGAGCAACUGGCAGAAACAGGUGGAAAAGGCGUUAGAGAAACUUCAAGAACCGCAGAAAGCUCUGGAUGAUCUUGAGUCUCAUGUGAUAACAGCUGAGGGGGUCCACACUGAUUGGCAACCUGUGAAUGACCUGUUUAUUGACGCAUUGCAGGAUCACAUUGAUAAAACCACAGGUAAGGACUGCCUGCAAAAUCUGAGAUUGGGUUUUGAAAGACAUCAACCUUUGCUUGCGAGAGAUAAUGGUAACUGCAGAUGCUAGAGAAUGCGAGAUAACAAUGUGUGGAGCUGGAUGAACACAGCAGGCCAAGCAGCAUCUCAGGAGCACAAAAGCUGACAUUUCGGGCCUCGACCCUUCAUGCGAGAGAACGUAACGUUUUUAAAGAAGAAAUUGCCCCAGUCAAACAAGAAGUCAAAAUAUUAAAUGAUCUGGCCAGUCAGUUAUCUCCGCUUGAUGUCUCUUUCUCUCCAAAGAUUUCUCACCAGCUUGAUGACCUAAAUAUGAGGUUGAAAUUUAUACAGCAGCAGGAGGUGAGGAGGCAGAGACUGCAACCCUGAGGUCACGGAGGGAAGGAAAAGAGGCUCUUACUUGGAGUUUGAGAAGCAGGAGAGGGCACAACCCAGAGGUUUGGGAGUGGAGAGAGGCUGCAAGUUGGAGGUCAAGGUGAGGAGAGGCACCAGUUGAUGAUGUAGAUUAAAUGUAAUACAGAAAAUUGUGAAGUUUGGUUCGAAAAACAGUACAUAAAACAGAAGGAACCAUUCUAAAUGGGUGCAGAAGCAGAUCGGUUUUGCUGUUCUGUGCAUAAACCAUUCAGUUAAACCACAGCUAGUCUGAGCUUCAACUCUGUUUACCUGCUGAAAAGGCAUGUCGACUGAAAACAUCAGCUUGCUUUCUCUCCAUGGCUGCUGCCUGACCUACUGUGGUCUCCGGCAUUUUUUGUCGUCAGUCUGUUUACCUCCCUUUCUUCUAUAUCCUUUCAUAGCCUUAGCUAUCAAAAAUAAUUUCAGUCACACUCAUUCUUAUUGAUCCAGCACCCACAUUCUUUUAUGAGAGAGUAUUUGAGAUCUUGACUGUUGUUUGUAUUAAGAUAAAAGUGCUUCCUGAUUUCAGUUCUGAAUGGCUUGCCAUUGAAUCUCAUAUAUUAAUAGAUAAUACUUCUGAUAAGAAAUGUUUUCAGAGUGUUAUAGUGGAAGCUUCUAUGUUCUGUGCAUCCUCUAUCUAGCCACCAGACUCAGAGUACCUGUUGGGACCAUCCAAAAAUGACUGAACAUUUUCACUCAUUAGGUAAGUAGAUUGAUAAUAGGACUCUGGUUCUGUGCCACUGUCAGAUCAUUGCGACUCCAAAAGGUACCAAAGUAAAUUCUGGAUUCUAGGCAAAUAUACCUAUGUGUUUAGAUCUAUUUAGAUGCAUUCAUGUAGGCUAAAAAUACUUGAAAUAAUGUAUAAUUAGGAGUGACAGACAACAUCUGUGACAUUAAAUGAAAAACAAGAACAAAGAACUUUGGUUCAUAUUUCAGCUUCGACAGGCACUAAACAACUAAAAGCACUGUAUAACCAAUGAAGUAAGUUUUUGAAGUAUGUUUGUAAUGUCGGAAACACAGCAACAAAUAUAUGCGCAGAAGGCUUUCACAAACAGAACUGUAAAAAUGACCACUUACUUUGUGAUAUUGAUUGAAUGCUAAGUGUUGGCCAGAAUGUAGAUCCACUGAACUGAAUACAGGUGGUUUGUGGGUAAGAAAGUCUUAACCCUUUGGACAAACCUAAUUUUAUUUGUAAUUUAUUAGCAAUAACUGAAUUGUGCAGUUUAAGUUCAGAAGUUCCCAAUUUUAAGUGGAGUUUUAACAAAUUCACCUUUGAAGAGCGUUUGGGCUUGAUGAACCCAAGUCUCAACUGAGUUAACUCAGCCUUUUGUGUUAGGGAUGUAUAAAUUAUCCAUCUUAGGGGA